rnacentral:rRNA from 1 species
UACGAGGGGGGCAAGCGUUGCUCGGAAUUAUUGGGCGUAAAGGGUGCGUAGGCGGUGCGGUAAGUCUGUUGUGAAAUCUCCGGGCUCAACUCGGAGUCUGCAUCAGAAACUGCCGUGCUGGAGUGUGGGAGAGGUGAGUGGAAUUCCCGGUGUAGCGGUGAAAUGCGUAGAGAUCGGGAGGAACACCUGCGGCGAAAGCGGCUCACUGGACCAUAACUGACGCUGAUGCACGAAAGCUAGGGGAGCAAACAGG